UCGGGAGUCGCCAAGUGGUAAGGCAACGGACUCUGAAUCCGUCAUUCGAAGGUUCGAAUCCUUCCUCCCGAGCCA
rnacentral:tRNA from 1 species